rnacentral:rRNA from 1 species
AGUUUGAUCCUGGCUCAGAUUGAACGCUGGCGGCAGGCCUAACACAUGCAAGUCGAACGGUAACAGGAAGCAGCUUGCUGUUUCGCUGACGAGUGGCGGACGGGUGAGUAAUGUCUGGGAAACUGCCUGAUGGAGGGGGAUAACUACUGGAAACGGUAGCUAAUACCGCAUAACGUCGCAAGACCAAAGAGGGGGACCUUCGGGCCUCUUGCCAUCGGAUGUGCCCAGAUGGGAUUAGCUAGUAGGUGGGGUAACGGCUCACCAAGGCGACGAUCCCUAGCUGGUCUGAGAGGAUGACCAGCC